UACGUAGGGUGCAAGCGUUGUCCGGAAUUAUUGGGCGUAAAGAGCUCGUAGGCGGUCUGUCGCGUCGGAUGUGAAAAUCCAGGGCUCAACCCUGGACCUGCAUUCGAUACGGGCAGACUAGAGUUCGGUAGGGGAGACUGGAAUUCCUGGUGUAGCGGUGAAAUGCGCAGACAUCAGGAGGAACACCGGUGGCGAAGGCGGGUCUCUGGGCCGAAACUGACGCUGAGGAGCGAAAGCGUGGGGAGCAAACAGG
rnacentral:rRNA from 1 species